GAACACCUGCAAGGAAAGAUCACCCGGGCCUGGACCUCAGAAGAGCAAAUUGGAGAACUGGAUGGUCGACUGAAGCAGUGAGUUGGUUAUGAGAAGCCGCUGAUCAGAACUAGGGGACAUGGACCCUGAUGGAGAAGCCAGUGUGCCCUGGGGUGGAGGGUCCGCGUGUCAGCAGGGCUCCCCAGACCCUCUUAUGACGCCGUCUGUCUGGGGAGUGGCCUGGCUCACCUCCAGCAGGGCGCAGAGAACCUGCAGCUGCUCUGGGUGGAUUCGCUCUGCUCAGUCUGCAGGUGCCAGAGCUGAGCUUGAGCCUCCCGCUCUCAGAUAUGGGUGUUAAGUGAGUGUUCAUGUGUACCCUGGCAGGUAAUGGUUUCUGCACCUGAAUGCUAUGGUAUCAAGAUCGGAAGAUUCCACAUACAACAAGACUUUUUUAAAAUAAGAAAAAUGAUGUAAGAUUUUCAUUGAUAAUGAAAUACCUUAGCAGUGAUAGUCAAGAAGCCAUAUAUGGUAAAAGGCAGUUUUCUAAUAAUGAUACGUGAUUCAGUGUAUGUUGUUGGGACAACUGGUUGUGUAUAAGACAAAUACAUAAUUGAAUUAGAAUGCAAAAAUAAUUUCAUAGACUUCCUGAUACAAACCUGAGUCCCUACGUUGUGGGAGUAAGAGGUUGUGCCACUGAGAGCUAAGUUUGCACAGCUGAUGACGCAGCUCCACCAGCCGUUGCGGAUACAGAGACCUUGGAGAGAGGACGACACGUCUCAGCGUUGCUGCUAAUGAAAAUAACAGAGAUGAAAAGAGACCAGGCUUCUGACAGGGCCUGGGGCUUGGCAAGCAAAGCUCCCAGAUUUCAGCCUCCCCACUCUCCUGUCCGCCAAGACUCUUCCUGGCCAGGAAGCAUCGUGCAGUGCACAUAACACCCCUGUGCCCACCAGCCCUGCGUUGGGGGGCCGCACAGACAUUCUGGAGGGCGGCUUGGAACACCGGAUGCACCUGUUGCUGCUUUCAGAACUUCCAGUGAUAGAAUGUGUCCCGGGGAGAGGACAGAAGAAGCACAGAGGGGAACAUUGUAAAUGAGCUGAUUACUUACUAAUAAGGUGUUGGCUAAGAAAUCAUACACACCUAUAAAAUAAUUAAUGUCCUUUAAAAUUUUUAAUAGGUUAAUAAGUAGCAUUUUACUGGGGUUAAAACUUACAUUUAUUUUACUAUUAGCCAUAUUAAGCAUUUCUCUCCUGAUGUAAAUUGGCAGUUUGUAAUUCUCUGAUUUAACUUUUUAACUGAUUGUGUCCUUGGAAUCCUUUCUCCCCACCUUCCUUCCUUCCUUUCUCUUUCUCUUUCUCCUCCCUCCCUCCCUGUCUUCUUCCUUCCUUUUCUGUUUGUCAUUCACUGCACAUGUUUAAAACUCAGUUAACAUUAUAAUAAGAAAAAGCACAUUCUUAAAUGGUAAUGGAAGUCAACAAAGACUGUAUUAAGAAAAUUAAAGUUUGGUUCAUUCUUUGUGUAAGUUUUCUUUAUAAUUAAAUAAUGGAAGUCACGGCUAGAAAUACUAACUAGGAACAAGUUUGCAAUAUGCCUUGAGUCCCAGGCAUGGCAAAUGGAACUUCGUCCUGAGGAUGGCAGAGAGCCCUGGGGGAUUUUGAGGAGGAGCAGAGUGAG